rnacentral:rRNA from 1 species
CUGAAUUUAGCGGCGGACGGGUGAGUAAUACUUAGGAAUCUGCCUAUUAGUGGGGGACAACAUUUCGAAAGGAAUGCUAAUACCGCAUACGCCCUACGGGGGAAAGCAGGGGCUCUUCGGACCUUGCGCUAAUAGAUGAGCCUAAGUCAGAUUAACUAGUUGGUGGGGUAAAGGCCUACCAAGGCGACGAUCUGUAACGGGUCUGAGAGGAUGAUCCGCCACACUGGGACUGAGACACGGCCCAGACUCCUACGGGAGGCAGCAGUGGGGAAUAUUGGACAAUGGGGGGAACCCUGAUCCAGCCAUGCCGCGUGUGUGAAGAAGGCCUUAUGGUUGUAAAGCACUUUAAGCGAGGAGGAGGCUACCUAGAUUAAUACUCUAGGAUAGUGGACGUUACUCGCAGAAUAAGCACCGGCUAACUCUGUGCCAGCAGCCGCGGUAAUACAGAGGGUGCGAGCGUUAAUCGGAUUUACUGGGCGUAAAGCGUGCGUAGGUGGCUAAUUAAGUCAAAUGUGAAAUCCCCGAGCUUAACUUGGGA